GACGUAGGGCGCGAGCGUUGUCCGGAUUUAUUGGGCGUAAAGAGCUCGUAGGCGGCUUGUUGCGUCGACUGUGAAAACCCGCGGCUUAACUGCGGGCUUGCAGUUGAUACGGGCAGGCUAGAGUUCGGUAGGGGAGACUGGAAUUCCUGGUGUAGCGGUGAAAUGCGCAGAUAUCAGGAGGAACACCCGUGGCGAAGGCGGCUCUCUGGGACGUGACUGACGCUGAGACGCGAAAGCGUGGGGAGCGAACAGG
rnacentral:rRNA from 1 species